rnacentral:rRNA from 1 species
UACAGAGACUGCAAGCGUUAUUCGGAUUCACUGGGCGUAAAGGGUGCGCAGGCGGCCAGGUGUGUUAGGCGUGAAAGCCCGGGGCUUAACCCCGGAAUUGCACCUAAAACUACUUGGCUAGAGCAUUGGAGAGGGUAGCGGAAUUCACGGUGUAGCAGUGAAAUGCGUAGAUAUCGUGAGGAACACCCGUGGCGAAGGCGGCACUCUGGGACGGUACUGACGCUGAGACGCGAAAGCGUGGGGAGCGAACAGG